CGGGUGAGUAACGCGUAGGAAUCUACCUUGAAGUGGGGGACAACUUGGGGAAACCCAAGCUAAUACCGCAUACGCCCUACGGGGGAAAGUGGGGGAUCUUCGGACCUCACGCUUCUAGAUGAGCCUGCGUCCGAUUAGCUUGUUGGUGGGGUAAUGGCCUACCAAGGCGACGAUCGGUAGCUGGUCUGAGAGGACGAUCAGCCACACUGGGACUGAGACACGGCCCAGACUCC
rnacentral:rRNA from 1 species